rnacentral:misc_RNA from 1 species
CCGAGUUAAUGAUUGGAGAAAUCCGAUCAGCUCUCACCCAUGUAUUGAUGUAUUGUUGCUUCGGCAGGGAGUCCUGUUGGUGAUUCUAACGAAUCGGUGACGGAUGAGCUGCCAAAGUACAAAGACACUAAGUUUUGAAGUCUGAGACUACAUUCAAUUAAAA